AUCCAGCGGACAAGUCCCAAAUAGGACGAAACGCGCGUCCUGGAU
rnacentral:hammerhead_ribozyme from 1 species